rnacentral:sRNA from 1 species
ACAACUACGACUCGAGGCUGUCCCGGCCUCCA